rnacentral:lncRNA from 1 species
GCAAGAAGCAGCGCCGCCGCCGGAGCAUUGCCACACUUAGCCCUUGCUCGAAGCUUUAGCCCCUCCGUCCAAGUCUGCUCCUUCCCGACCCUAAGCUUUCCUUUCAGGAAGAAGGUGAGUUGCCGACCCCCAGUCCGCCUCGCCCGACCCCUCCUAUCCGCCCGACCCCAGUUCCGUCUCGUCCGACCCCGUCUGUUCUGCCGACCCUUAUCCGCCUCGCCCGAGGGCUUGGCUGUGAUCUUUUUCUUCAACUCGAGGGUGUAUGUGUAAAACUUGGGAAACCUUCAGCGCUUGCAUCUAAGGACCCCUAUUUUAUCACAUCCUCUAGUUCAAGGAUCAGACCACUAGUUUCCUUCCUACCCUUACCUUUUGAUCAUCAUCAGCUUUUGAACUGCUAUCACCCCUGCUCUUUGUCGCGAGUUUCUGGGCUCAGACGAGCCAGUGUUGCUGUUGAACUAACCG